GAUGAAGAACGGUAGUGAAAUGCGAAAAGUAAUGUGAAUUGCAGAAUUCAGUGAACCAUCGAAUCUUUGAACGCACAUUGCGCCCGCUGGAACUCCGGCGGGCACGCCUGUCCGAGCGUCAUUUCAACCCUCAGGCCCCCCUUCGCGGGCGGGCCUGGUGUUGGGGCCCGGCCGCUACCCUGCGGCCGUCCCCUAAAUUCAGUGGCGGCCUCGCCGUGAUCCCUUGCGUAGUAAUGCACCUCGCACCGGAGAGCGCCGUGGCCACGCCGUAAAACCCCCAAUUUUCAAUGGUUGACCUCGGAUCAGGUGGGAAUACCCGCUGAACUUAAGCAUAUCAAUAAGCGGAGGA
rnacentral:misc_RNA from 1 species